GAGUUUGAUCUUGGCUCAGAACGAACGCUGGCGGCAUGCCUAACACAUGCAAGUCGAACGAACUCUUCGGAGUUAGUGGCGCACGGGUGCGUAACGCGUGGGAAUCUGCCCUUGGGUACGGAAUAACUCAGAGAAAUUUGUGCUAAUACCGUAUAAUGACUUCGGUCCAAAGAUUUAUCGCCCAAGGAUGAGCCCGCGUAAGAUUAGCUAGUUGGUGGGGUAAAGGCCUACCAAGGCUACGAUCUUUAGCUGGUCUGAGAGGAUGAUCAGCCACACUGGGACUGAGACACGGCCCAGACUCCUACGGGAGGCAGCAGUGGGGAAUAUUGGACAAUGGGCGAAAGCCUGAUCCAGCAAUGCCGCGUGAGUGAUGAAGGCCUUAGGGUUGUAAAGCUCUUUUACCCGGGAUGAUAAUGACAGUACCGGGAGAAUAAGCUCCGGCUAACUCCGUGGCAGCCGCCGCUGU
rnacentral:rRNA from 1 species